rnacentral:rRNA from 1 species
CCUACGGGUGGCACCAGUGGGGAAUAUUGGACAAUGGGCGAAAGCCUGACCCAGCAAUGCCACGUGUGUGAAGAAGGUCUUCGGGUUGUAAAGCACUUUCGACGGGGACGAUGAUGACGGUACCCGUAGAAGAAGCCCCGGCUAACUUCGUGCCAGCAGCCGCGGUAAUACGAAGGGGGCUAGCGUUGCUCGGAAUGACUGGGCGUAAAGGGCGCGUAGGCGGUUUAUGCAGUCAGAUGUGAAAUCCCCGGGCUUAACCUGGGAACUGCAUUUGAGACGCAUAGACUAGAGGUCGAGAGAGGGUUGUGGAAUUCCCAGUGUAGAGGUGAAAUUCGUAGAUAUUGGGAAGAACACCGAUGGCGAAGGCGGCAACCUGGCUCAAUACUGACGCUGAGGCGCGAAAGCAUGGGGAGCAAACAGGAUUAGAUACCCGUGUAGUC